UACGUAGGGUGCAAGCGUUGUCCGGAAUCAUUGGGCGUAAAGCGCGCGUAGGUGGCUUCGUAAGUCCGUUGUGAAAGUCAAAGGCUCAACCUUUGAAUGCCGAUGGAUACUGCGAAGCUAGAGUACGGAAGAGGCGAGUGGAAUUCCUGGUGUAGCGGUGGAAUGCGCAGAUAUCAGGAGGAACACCAAUAGCGAAGGCAGCUCGCUGGCCCGAUACUGACGCUGAGGUGCGAAAGCGUGGGGAGCAAACAGG
rnacentral:rRNA from 1 species